rnacentral:rRNA from 1 species
GUAGGUGGCAAGCGUUGUCCGGAAUUAUUGGGCGUAAAGCGCGCGCAGGGCGGUCCUUUAAGUCCGAUGUGAAAGCCCACGGGCUCAACCGUGGAGGGUCAUUGGAAACUGGGGGACUUGAGUACAGAAGAGGAAAGCGGAAUUCCAAGUGUAGCGGUGAAAUGCGUAGAGAUUUGGAGGAACACCAGUGGCGAAGGCGGCUUUCUGGUCUGUAACUGACGCUGAGGCGCGAAAGCGUGGGGAGCAAACAGGAUUAGAUACCCUGGUAGUCCACGCCGUAAACGAUGAGUGCUAAGUGUUAGGGGGUUUCCGCCCCUUAGUGCUGCAGCUAACGCAUUAAGCACUCCGCCUGGGGAGUACGGCCGCAAAGGCUG